AUGAUUUGGAAAACUGUAGUAGCAUGGUGGACAAAGGUCACAAACAGAUCUUGGCUUCAAAGUUACAUUCAAAUAUGUCACUUCCUUUGCAUUCGAGAGGAUUUGGAGCCUUGGUUUGUUGGUGAAGUAACGAUAGAAGGAGAUAUUAAAUUGUUGUUUGUGAUAGCAAGUGGCUUGCCUACAACAGAGGACUUUGAGCAUGUCACUUAUUUGGAAAUAUUGAAGGCUCCACCUAUCCCCAUAGGAAUUGUCUCAAGAGCGUUACCCCCCAUGUCCUGA
rnacentral:rRNA from 1 species